GAUCAACGCUGGCGGCGUGCCUAAUGCAUGCAAGUCGAACGGGGUUCUCUUCGGAGGACUUACGUGGCGGACGGGUGCGGAACACGUGGGCAACCUGCCCUGAGGUGGGGGAUAGCCGUGGGAAACCGCGGGUAAUUCCGCAUAAGCUCGUCCCGUGGUAGGCGGGAUGAGGAAAGGGUCUUCGGACUCGCCUUAGGAGGGGGCUGCGGCCGAUUAGCUAGACGGUGGGGUAAUGGCUUACCGUGGCGAUGAUCGGUAGCUGGUCUGAGAGGACGGCCAGCCACACGGGGACUGAGAACGGCCCCGACUCCUACGGGAGGCAGCAGCAAGGAAUCUUCCGCAAUGGGCGAAAGCCUGACGGAGCAACGCCGCGUGGGGGAUGACGCCCUUCGGGGUGUAAACCUCUUUUCUUCGGGACGAAGAUCUGACGGUACCGGAGGAAGAAGGACCGGCUAACUACGUGCCAGCAGCCGCAGUAAUAC
rnacentral:rRNA from 1 species